rnacentral:rRNA from 1 species
AUGUUUUCUGAACAUGAUGAGGAACUGAAUGAGAAUGAAGAUGCACUUAUGAGUGUAGAGGCAGAGGCAAAGGCAGAAGCAGCAGCUGCAGAAGCAGGAGAUGAAUCCGUUUUGCAUAGUAUUAUUGAAGAUGAAGAUGCCGAACCAACAGUUGUCGAGGAUGCCAAUCUAGAAGCUGCUCAAGAUGACAAGCCAAAAGGACGGAGGCAGAUGGCGUCAAGAUCACUAAUCUGGGAGCAUUUCACGAAAGUUUUUUAA